rnacentral:lncRNA from 1 species
CAGAGGAGGGUGACCAGAAUAUUAAAGUGUCUAGAAAGCAUCAUCAACUGGGAAUGCUUAGCCUGGGGAAGAGAAAGUAUAUAUGAUAACUGUCUUCAAAUAUUUAAUGAGUCACCAAGUAGAAGGGAGAUUAUGUGAACCCAAAGAUGGCCUGUGCCACUAACAUUUGAAAACACUAUCAGUGUGUUUGGAAGUCAGAAGUAAUGGAAGUGUGGUACCACUGGGAUUCAAACCCACCAGUGGUAUAGCAGACUGUGUUCAUGUUCCAUGUGUGAUACCAUCUAUGUUCCAUGUGUGAUACCAUGUGUGAUCAGUGAAGUUCCUCAAUCAACAGGACCAUUUCAGGCCUGGGCUUCAAGGUGCACAGGCUUUACAAUUUGAAGGGGUUCUAAGUCAUCUAGAUCCUGAAACUCACUACAACAAAGACAAAGACUGGCAUUAGUCAUGAAGAACUUCCUGGAAGAGGUAUAUUUCACACGACAAUUUAAAAGAAGUUAAACAAUAUGAGAUGAUGGUGGAAGGGAAUCAUUGGGAGACAUGGAAGGCCCCAAAAUAAUGGUUGCCAUGUUGCUGCUGGAAGUGUUGUCCCCUACUGUCUCUGAAGGGACUGGUGAGACAAAAGAGCUCUGGAUCAACUCUCUGUUCAAAGGCAGCAACCUGCUCUUGUUUUUUCAAUCUUUUUUUUUCAAUUGCAUGUAAGAACAAUUUUUAACAUUCAUUUUUUUAAAAAUUGACUUCCAAAUUCUUUUCCCCCUUCCCUCCUCUGACCCCACUUUGAGAAUUUGAUACAUAUAGUCAUGCAAAAUAUAUUUCAAUAUUAGUUUUGUUAUGAAAGAAAAUAAAGACCCCCCCACUCCCCA